UAUAUAGUAUGUCUUGUACUUCCUGGUCCACAGUGGAUAUAAUGUGAUGUUGUUGUUAAUGCAAUAAAGAUGAUCUCAAAGCUGCAACUACGUGUAUUUUUAAUUAUAGUAGCGACACUUUUUAAGCCAGUAACAGCACAGAUCAAUCUUGCUUUACAUGGAACAGUAGCACAAGCAACAACAUAUACAGACGCCGGUUUUUCAUACAAUGCAAACUUGGCAAUAGAAGGGCCUGCGAAUAAUAAUUGGGAAGAUGGAUGUUCAUCUACAGGUUAUCAACCGAUGACAUGGUGGGGUCUAUUUCUUCCCAGACUAGCCUACGUUACAAAUGUUAGGAGUUAUUACCGGAAAGAUGAGCCACGGCGCAUGAACGAUUUCCGGUUGUACUUUGCAAAUAGCAGUGUAUAUACAACAACAGAACUGUGCCACAGAGAUUGGCAACAACAGGCAUACCUUAACCUGAAUCAGAGUAUAUAUUGUGACUUAAGCCCUACCAAGAAUGUUUACUUUUUCAACAGAAAUACGUUUAUCGAAUUAUGUUACAUAGAAAUAUUAGGAUGUUGGAAAGGUUCGUGGGGAACGAACUGCACAAAUGCAUGUCCACUUAAAUGUAUUGACCAGCGAUGUCAUCCUGUCAACGGCUCGUGUGCUUGGGGAUGCGACCCACACAACUGUUUUAAUAACACAUGUGAUAUACAUACAGGGGCUUGUACUGAAGGAUGUGUAGAUGGCUGGGUAGGAAAGUACUGUAACACGAAUAUACAGCACCAAUAACUUUUGGGAUGCAGUACACGGAACAAAUACUGGUUAUUACUCGCCUGAAAGCACUGAGUUGUAAACUGAAUUAGUUACGUCUGUUUGUAUUACUGAUGAUCAAUUUUUGCAAAUAUCUUUAACACAUUAACAUUUAUGUAUGAUAUGUUGUAAAUUCAAAAGUGAAUUGACAACGCAAGAUGUGUCUAAUUGUUGUAAAUAAUUAAUUGAAAAAAAAGAAUAUAGUUAACUAUCGGUUCACUCCAUUCUCCAAAAGUCACAUUUUGUUUAAUUUUAUCAAAGUUUUGAAUAUUUCCAAAUAUGUUUCUCAAAGAUACAUAGGAGGGCGUACAAACAUGUAGAAUAACUUACUACUUCCUCCUUAUCUCAACAGCUAACUAAAACUACACGUCCUAUUGGUUUUUACAGCAAUUUUAAUUUUAUGUAGGACAAAGACAUGUCUCAACAACAGCUACACGACUUAAACCAUUAAAACAAUUAAUGAUUUCAAACAGCAGACUUCCUUAUUGUUUGCAAGAGGUUCAAUGAAUGUAGGUUGAGACCAAAACUUUACGACAAAAGGGAUAAUUUCAGAUUUCCAAUUGUGAUGUUUCCAUUUCUAGUAGCAUCAUUCCAGCAUCGCCUUCAUAUGGAGUACAUAUCUCUCAGUUAAUAGAAUAUUCCACAGCUUGCAGGUACCGUUAGGAUGUCCUUGGCAGAAGAUUGCAGCUAACACGGAAGCCUUUGAAUCAGGGGUACCAAGUGGUAAAGUUUAAGUCAUCGCUUUAAAAGAUUUACGGUCAUCACGAGUUGUUUGACCGCAAUGUAUUAUCUCUGCUACGGAUGACAACGUAUAUGUUCCAAAGAAUAAUAACCCCACAAUAACAAGUAUCAAACAAUAAUAAUAAUCACAGCAUUUGAUCGGUAAAUAUUACAAAUUGAUGCAGUCUCAAACAGUUAUAUUAUUUGUUUUCAUUUGAUGGAUUACAAAAAGGUAAAUAGCCUUUUGAGUAUUAUCUGCAAAAACUUCGAUGUA